AAAACUCACGAUACCCUAGACAAGGAAAGGGAAUCUCUCUUUCCUUCUCUAAGGACAAAAUACUCGGAAGCUGAACCGCGCAACCGCGGUCUACGUCAAACUCAGCUGAUCUUUGCCGCUGAUGGACUUUGUAAACAACGGCACUUUUAUAAAUAUCAGAGUAAAUAUGGCCCUAUUUAAAAACAAGGUUAAAAACUCAACAGCAUUCCUGUAUUUUUAAACAAUACCAAAAAUACUAAAAGCAUUUAAAGAAGAUUUACAAUUUGUGAAUGCGUUUUGGGGAACCAGCGAUUCAUAUAACUAGUAAGAAAAGUUUAGAACUAGUUUAGAAAAUUAAUAUUACAGACUGGAUUAUUUUUAAUUUGUGUUGUUUCACUUAAUUUUGUGAAAAACACUAUAAUAAGAAGAAACGUAUUAUUUGCCCACUGUGUACUUUAAAUAUGGUAGUCUAUAUAGUUUGUGGAAGUUGCAGUAUAUUGCAACAACAUUUGAAGGUAAACACCAUGAAGUAAUAAAUUGAAAAUGGAAACACAUAACUUUACCUAUGACUUUGCUACAAAGGAAAGUUAUAAACUGUGGUAUGAAAAACAGAAGAUCAAGAUAAAUUAUGCAUUCGCCAAGCCAAGAAAAUAUAAUGACUGCGUGGAAAAAAACUUUCAAUUAUUAUCGUAAUCAUAGUAAAUCAGCCAGGACACGUCAGCAAUUAUUGUUCUAAAUGAACAGAGAAGGCCAGUAGUUCAAUAAAAAGACCAUAUAAUGAGCCAUAAAAGGAAAAUGGAUAAGCAAGAAUUAUUCCCAACAAAGUGAAAGAGGUUAUUGGUUUAAGGCUUUAUUUAUUUUGUUUUUGGUCUUACUUAAGUAAAUAUGUAUUGACUGUUGGGGUAAGGGUUUUAUAUUUAUUUUGUACUACUUACUACUAACCUGUACAAUGUGGUAUUGUUUAUUGUUAAAAUUAUUGUAUUGUAUUGUUGUAAUUAUUGUAUUUUCUUGACAUAGAACAGCCAUAAGUUUCUUGCAGUUUCUUUUUAUAGGCCGUAAUCGAAACUGCAACAUUCUAAUAAAAGUAGAACUAUAAAUUUGUUUUUUUAUUUCUAAUAUGUUACAGUAAUUAAGCUAACAAAUUUUCCCAAAACGUUUAUUUCCCCAUGAAAAUGUGAUUCAAUUUAAGAACUGAUAUUUUAAUAAAAGAUUUGAGAGUAGAAUUUGAGAAUAAUGAGCUCUCUCCAAGUAAAGCUAUGGUUCUCACUUAUGCAUCAAAUUAGAUAGUGAUCAUGAAUCUGCAAAUGAAACAAUUUUUAAUUUACACCAAUAAUCAAUGCAACUUUGACUAAAAUCACUUGAUGUAGGCAAUAUAUGUAUAUAACGAAAUAUCAGCCAUAUACAUUAACCACCUUCCUUCUUUAAAAUGAGCAAAUAAUGACAAAUUACAUUUCGUAACUUUAAUGGCAUUUGUAUGUUUUAUAUGAAUGCAGAUCAGUUUUUAAAUAUAGCCAUAUUUCUAAAAAUAGUCAAAAACUAUAAAAAACAAAAUGAACAACCAAAACAGUCAACUACUGUUAGCAAUUUCGCAUAAUAAAAUUAUUGUCUGUGAUUAUUGUUCGAUUCUCGAUUAUUCAUAAUGUUCAAAAUUCCCGCAAAGCGCUUCUUGCCGAACAAAACCGAACUCUCCGUGUAGGAUCCGAAUGCUUCCGAGGUUUUCGUGAGUUUUAGUGUCGUCU
rnacentral:lncRNA from 1 species